rnacentral:rRNA from 1 species
GAUGAACGCUGGCGGCGCGCCUAACACAUGCAAGUCGAACGGACGAUGAAAAGCUUGCUUUUCAAAGUUAGUGGCGGACGGGUGAGUAACGCGUGGGUAACCUGCCUCAUACAGGGGAAUAGCAGCUGGAAACGGCUGAUAAAACCGCAUAAGCGCACAGUGCCGCAUGGCACAGUGUGAAAAACUCCGGUGGUAUGAGAUGGACCCGCGUCUGAUUAGCUAGUUGGCGGGGUAACGGCCCACCAAGGCGACGAUCAGUAGCCGGCCUGAGAGGGUGACCGGCCACAUUGGGACUGAGACACGGCCCAAACUCCUACGGGAGGCAGCAGUGGGGAAUAUUGCACAAUGGGGGAAACCCUGAUGCAGCGACGCCGCGUGAAGGAAGAAGUAUCUCGGUAUGUAAACUUCUAUCAGCAGGGAAGAUAAUGACGGUACCUGACUAAGAAGCCCCGGCUAACUACGUGCCAGCCGCCGCGGUAAGAC